rnacentral:lncRNA from 1 species
UUAAAUUACACAUUAUCUAAUAUAAUAAAUGCUUAUUGAACUACAUAUCCAAACAAUGCAUUUAAAAGCACUUAAACACUUAAUAAAUGCUUUUAUUAAAAGAUCUGCUAACCCCAAACGGACCAUGGACCUGAAUUAUGUUCCAUGACAAUGGAUUCAGGUGGAAGAUUGACCAUCAGAAUAUCAAUUAAAGACCAAUGUCUGCACUAAAAUAAUCUUUCAAACUUUUAACAUAAUUGCCUAGCACUCUUCCAAGAUAUUGAUAGAAGUUCAAUGAAUAAUUGAUAAUGCAAUGCGUGGACCACGCUUCAACAAACAUAUGGACUAAUAAUUGAUUCAUAUGCAUGCACUUGACUGAAUAUUGCGCGUAUUACAAGCUAAGUUUCCAUAGGGCUUCACGAGGCUUUGAUUUAUCCUACACGUAUCAUUUCUGAGCCUUUACAUACUCGAGCUUAAGCUAUGCUUGACAAAUUAAAAGGAAGCAAAAACAAAUCCAGACGGGGUUUAGAACACGCCUUACAAAUACUUAAACAAGACACACACAAAAUGAGGUCACUUCACCGUAAAAGCAGUCACAGAAAAGGUGAAAGAAACUCUCUGGUUAAUUGACCUAUCAUUUUAAGUUUGAAAGUAGUAAAUAUGACUGAGUGGACAAACAAUUGGAAUCAGCAAAAGGUGCCCAAGAAUAUUAACAAUUCUAAGCUAUUGUGCUUAAGAACAAAAAGCAGGGCAGUUCAUCUAAUCCACUUCUCUACCACAAAAUCAAGCACUAAUCAAAAGACAAUUGAAAACAUUGAAAAUUAUGGGUUUGACAAUUCAUACUUAAAUCCCAACCCUAGCGAAGCGCACUAAGAAAAAUGUUUAGUCAAAGGUAGAAAGCUUUUGUCACGGAAACAUUCUAAAAUCUUGUGUAGACGCAUAACCCAAGAAAGUAUAAAAUUAAAUCUACUCGUAUACGUUUGAAACCCCUCCAUGUUAAAGGCUUCAGAUAUACAAGUACCAGCAUACAUCCAGGUACUUUGUCAGAGGAUUGGUCAAUCUUUUUCAAUACUCCCUUAACUUCAACCUAGAUCGCCACCUCAAAAACAUGGACUUCCUCUCACUCUAUGUAACCCACAAAUAACAACCAACAAUUAUCUCAUUUUUGCAGUAACUGAGAUCCCUUGUUCCACCAAUUCCCCCUUCUGAGCUACCAAAGAAGAAAAUAAGAAGUGUGAACAAAGAAAGAAAAGUUACAUUUAAAGCAUUCUAAACCUGCUGCACAUGAAGUGGAGAAGAUAUCAGAACCAAAUGUAUGUAAGUAAAAAAUUAGACAUAAAAAAGGUCUGAGACGUGUUUUCAAGUUUAACAUACCCUGGAACUUCAUAUACCAAGAGGAGGUCAUCUUCUUGACAGGAAGUGUAGAUGCAAGCAACACGCUGCUUCGAAAGCAGAGGAGCCAAAAGUAUUGAAUAAGCACAAAAAAAGUGGGCACAUAGAUAAAAAGAAGGGGCCAAGUUAGAAACACAAACCAAAAGCAAAUGACAGAACAAAUCACGACAAUUAGACCAACAAAGUAUGUCAGCAAUCAAUCAUGAAGGAAAUCAAGACGGAUAAAAAAUUAUAAAACUUCUGAAAGGCAGCGGCAACCGUCCAAUCACCACAGACAGGCCUACAAAGCAGUAAUCAGUAGAGAUAGAGCUUUUAUAUUUGAUACUCCAAUUCUUCCUCAUGAACUGAACAUUGUCCCAACGCUCUGCAAAUGUCAUAAGAGCACUGCAAGGUUAAAGAUGUGAGUCCCAAACUUCCAACAAGUAAGUCAU